UAAGAGAGCCUACAAUAAAAACUGAAAAUUUAUUUGAUUGUCACGCAGUGAUCCACUAUUCCACUCUAAUUAAAGCUACUACCAUUAACGUAUAUUUAGGAGUAUGUAACUUCAAUUUUGUGCGUACACUUCUCUUUUCUCAAAUGGGAGAGUAUACACUGAUCUCAUCACCACUCCUCCACUCACGGAUGACGAAGACCAGAAAUCAAAACAUCAUCAAUAACAAACUGUUGAGAAAAGAUUGGAUAGCCAUUUCCCCCUCUCUUCACAAUCCUCUGCACCUUCAGAUGCGUCAACACCCUCACAUCCAAUCCUCUCCAGAUCACUCCAAAUAAUCAGGGUUUUGGAAGCGAGAUGGAGUACAGGGCGUACUUACGAGCUUAGACGUAGGAGUAGAGUUCCUUUUGAUCAUCAUUUGUAACUAAAUUUCAUUUUUGUAAAAUCUUGGCAAAUGACAUGUAAUUACCUUAUAGAUUGUGACCUUGUAAAUGUAACCAUAUUCUUUUGGGCAUGUUUGAAUAUAUUUUAGAAUAUGUAUAUAAUGGUAAUGGAUUCAUUUUGCGAACCCUCUGGGGUCGUUACAACCUUUCCCCUUUCUCUUCCCUAAGGGUCAGUUUGGUGCAAUGGAAAAGGGAGGAAAGGAAAGGGAAGCUGAUGGAUGGGGAUUAAAAAUUUGUGUUUGGCAAAAAUUGUUGGAAGGAAAGGGAAGGGUUUGGAAGGUUAGUCAAAGCUCAAAAUAGUGUUUUGCUUAUCCUCCCAAAAAUGGGAGGAAAAGGAAGGAAAGUGAAGGGGAGGGUUGAUAUAUUAUUUGUGAUGCCAAAUUUGCCCUCAAGAUUACAUAUACAUACAAGUUAGCAGUUGCAAAGAUAGUGAGAGACGGCGGGCCAGUGGCUGAAGCUUGCGAACGGCGAACCGGAAUUGGAACAGGGGCGAUGGAAAUUGAAAGAUAUGGGUUUUGAUUUUCUGAACAAUCUGAAAUGAUAUAUCGAUACGGGUUUUGAACUUUUGAUUCUUGCAGACAGAUAGAUAAACUGAAAUAUAUGGGUUUUGAACUUCUGAUUCUUGUAGUGCAGAGAGAGAGAGAGAGAGAGAGAGAGAGAGAGAGGGCAAGUUCAGAGUUGCGAGAAUAAAGAUGGAGGCGGAGAGAUUGGGGAGGCUGAAAUGAUUUGCCCUAAAUUUUGUUUUUUCUUUUCUUGUGGCCUAUCAUCCAUGUGCGCACAGAGGCCAUUUAUUAACCUUUUAUUUUUAUUUUUUUAUUUUUAGGAGGUUGCUAAAAUUUUGCUAUUGCAUUAUUUUUAGUACUAAAUACAUAAAUGUAAAAUGGGUAUGUACCUGUUUGUGUGUGUUAAAUGUAUAGGUGAUAAAAUAUAUAUAUUUAUCUUUUAAAAUAGAAAAGGGUAUAAUAGUAAAUUUUCCCAAACAUGAUUAUUAUACCUCCCUUUCUUUUUCUUUAUUAAUCAACCAAAUACGAUAGAGGGUUAAAAUUAUCCUUUCCUUUCCUUCCCUUUCUCUCAUAACUAAUGUUAUCAUUUCCCUUCGAACCCAGCGUACCAAACAUAGCCUAAAUUAUCAGCAUGACUAUAUCCACCAAUAUUGUCUCUUUACAUAGUUAAAAGAACCUUUCGCUGGUCAAUAUGUCGGCAUUCUUCAAUUCCAUCGUCUCUUUACCCUUCCAUGUCAAUUAUUGGUAUUCAGGGUCAGUUUCUCGAAAUCAGUGUCGUUAGUUAUAACAGAUUGAAAGGCACAGAGUGGAUUUCAAGGCAAGAUCUUAACAUUUCCACAGAUGGAGGCAAAAAUCCUACGUUUCAAGGGAAAUUCGUGUUUACGCUGAUUGAAGGACUUCGAGAGUUGAAUAUUGUGGUUUGGAAUAGCAAUACUAUCUAUUACGAAUGACUCCACUGGCAGUGAAUAUUGUGAUCUUAUAAUUUUUUUGAUUUCUCGAUCUCUGCAAUUGGUUUUAUCUAAAAUCUGGUGAUCUCUAUGAUGUUUUAUUUAAUUCUAGGGCUCAUUUACAAAAUUCCUUUCUCAAGACUACAAUGACUGCCCCUGGCCACUUAAGACCAAAACUGGCUGGUAUAAUCUUCUUGACUACUUAAUGAUUAGCUCAGGUUUGGUGAAUUCUAAAAUUUAGUAGUAUAUUGGAACAAUAAUAUUGGUUAAGCUUAAGGUUGAAUCUAUAGACAAUGCAAUUUUUUAUAAUCAAAUAAAGUUUUUGAUAGCGGUUCUUUUCACAUAUGACAAGUUUCAGGAAGUUGCAACAGAAGGCCAUUACUGUUGGGAGUAGGUGCAUUAACUUUGAGUCUAUUCCCUGCAAAUUCCCUUUUGCUGCUGAAGGUAUAAUGGUUUGUAGUUAAAUUCCAAUAAAAUUCUUAAUAGCCAAUUCAAGAAUAACAGGAGAUUUUCACAGUCAAAUGUCUUUGUGGAACUUGGGUCAUAUACCGAAUAGUAGUGAUUAAUAUAGUAUAUAGUUUUUUUUUAUUGGUUUGAGGACAUAGUUGUUAUAUGGUAAAAUUGUCUCAUAUGUAGCGCAUGACUAUAUUCCAUAUAGUUAUUUUAUUCACUUCACUAAUUGUAUUUUGUUUGUGAACAUUUCUUCCUUUUCUAGAGUUGUUAUAAGGCUAUAGGUUUUUCAGUAUAAGACAUUAGAGAGAGGCACUGCAUUCAGUUCCCUUCCCAUUCUUUCCACCGCAAUUUUUUUACUCAUCUUUCAAGCUUUAGUAUUAAGUUGUUCCAGACGAUGAAUUUAGAUACACAUCUAUUCUUGUAGUUUGGGGGGCAAAGAAUUUGAAAACAUGGCAUGAUUACUUUAUUAAAUAUUUGCAUCCAUUUAGGACGAACACUUGCAUAUAUGUUGUAUAGGGUGCAAUAUAAGGACAUAUGAUGGUUUCAUGUUAUAUGCAACAGUGAGAAUAAUGUUACAAGAGUGUAAGUUGCCUACUUUCUGUGAUGAUUUUAGUUAUUUAAAUGUUUGUUAUAUACAAUAAUCUUUUCAUUAAUUUUCAAGUAAUUAGCUAGUGUACUAUUUUUGAGGGUAAGGAUUAAGGAAUUGAGGAUUAAUUAGUGUACUGUGAGUGAAUUCAGGAAGUACAUUGGGGGAUUGCUUCAGGAGAGAACAAAGGGUCAAGGGAGCUGUGGAAAAAUGAGGCCUUGGCCGAAAGAUGUUUGUGUCCUUGAGGAGUGUACGCACGUUGCUUGUCGGCCCGUGGUCAACUUUAUGGUAGAAGUGCUUUAUGCAUCUUUCGCUUUUGAGAUAUCUGAUUUGGUUUCUGUAUAUCAGGUAAGGCUCUGUUUCAUUGACUUCACUGAGUCUUGAUUGAAAUACUGUUCUUCAUUUCAUCGUCCAUAUGGAGUAUUGAUUAAAAUUUAGUGUUUACUUUGAAAAUUGCAUUGGUAUAUGUUGUCAAACACAGAUAAAGUACAUUUAAAAAAAAAACAUCCUUGAUGUGGUCUGUGUCUCUUAUUUUAUGAAAUUGCUACAAAAGAGCUUGCAUUUUGAAUUUCUUGAAAUUAUAUUGUUUGUAUUUAUGAGCACAAACCUUUAAUACUUUCGAGAUUGCAUUUCUAAUUUCUAAUUAAUCAUUGUGCCUAAAAUUGUAUAAUAAUAUCAUUGUUCUAGGAAGAUUAUUUCUUAGCCCUUAGAUGACACUCCGUGAUGAGAUGUCCUAACCUUGAACUCACUCUUUUCUAGUAGGUGCCAUUUGUAUAAUUCUUCUUUUUUUCAACAUAAUAAUAAUAGUAAUAAGUAUAGUAUUGUAUUAACUGAAGAAAUAUUUGUACAAAGAAAGGGCAGAAACCAAAAGGGCCAUUGGGCAGAGAGGCAAAACUUCAGAACAGAAACAAGAUAGAAAAGGAUCAAACUAGAGGUCUGACCACUACUAAUACAAAAGGUACCACACUAUUUCAAAGCAUUCCAGCCUAAAAAGACCAACAAAUGACAGCCCUUGAUACCCAAGACAUUGCAACUGCAAGGCUUGAAACUUACACUAAAAGAUUCACUCCUAGCUGGAGUGGGUUUUGUGAGGCCUAUUUCUAGUUUAAACAUAUAAUGGGCUCUAGUUUUAUCAAACUUAGAUUGAAAUAACCAUGCCCAUCAUUAAAAAAAUCCUAACUGAAGUACCUCGGCCUGUCAUUCUUCCUGGUGUGGAAUUGGACUUCCAGACAGGUCUCUCAAAUGCCAGGCAUGUAAUUAAAGGCUUCUUGAGAAUCUGAUGCUAACCCUUACCUUGUUCAUGAUUUUUUUUUUUCAAAAAGUAAUGAUAGGUCAUCAUUUACUUCUAUGGAGGAGUUAAAAAUCGUAUAAGCUUUCUAGAGACAUUGAUGUGUUUAUUUGAGUUAUGUUGAGAAUAUGACUACCUCGAUUAUCUUGUACUACUUUAUUUGAUCCUUUUUAAAUGACUCUCUGUGAGCAACAUUUGUGGAAGUUUUUAUGCUUAGAGUGCAGACAAAAUCCAAGUAACCAUCAUAUCAUACUUAAUAGAUUAGAGAAUUCGUCAAAAUCUGCUACACCUCUUGCAAAUUUUUUCCAGGUAUGAAAUUCAUUACUAGAUAACAUUCUUGCUUUCCUUUAUAUGUAAUCAGAAUAUGUAAAUGACAUUCUUGAUCAUGCAUUUUCAUAUACUCCAGAUCUUUAACUCACAUAUGCAGUAAAUAACACUUGUUCUUUCAGCUUUGGAAGAUGCCAAACUUUUAAUUGUUAAUUAUUAGCUAGAAGUGCUUUGUUAUUCGUCAGAGGAUCUUGCACUGACAGAUGCAGUCUUAAAGUUUAUAUCUCUGGAGUAGUUGAUCAGUUAUGUACAAUGAAGAAUACUAUCUUGCCCAACCUCUUAAGACAUCAUACACGUGCGUUAUGUCCUAGAUUUGAUUGAGGAGAAUUCCUUGCUGGGGUCUUUGAGUUGGUCCGCUCUUGCGGAGAAGAGCUCUUCAUUGAGGCUGUGAAUGAGGAUUUUAUGACGAGAACAGGUCCUCAUGGCAAGACUUGUCUAAGGAGAAUUGGUCCUCGUGAGUACAAGAUGCCUUUAAAAAGCUAUGGACCUCUUCAAAGAUCUCUUAUGAAGCUCCUUCGAGGUACCUUGAGUGAGUGGCACUACUGAGCAAAGACAAAUACUUAGGCCAGAGUUAAAAAUGCUUUGAUCAUAGAACACAUACCUUUGGUAAUUGCAAUGUAUCAUGGCCAUGCGACCACUGCAUUAAUUGUUUGUGGCCUACUAACACCAGUAUAUAGUUGGAAUUGUUUAUGUAUCAAUGCCAUUUAUAUAACAGAAAGCAUGUACCUGUACAAAUAAUGGAUUGACUAUGCAAGAAAAUACUACGUUUACAUUUUGGCUAUACAUUUAUGUCUAGUUCCAUUAGUUGUCAGAGUCCAUUAGCUAUCUCAUUGGCGAAAUGACCUAAAUGACCUGCCUUCUCCAUAGUGAUUGUAAGCAUGAACAGCACAUUCUAGUUUGAAAUAUUUGCAGACAGAGCAAGAUAUCAAACUAAAAAUGUGAUGGUAACACUUCGUCUAGUUGAAGGCUCAAACACAAUGAAUCUCUUAGAAGGAAUACUGGCUAAUGU